AUGAUAUACAAAACGUUGGUUAAAGUGGCUCGAGGAGAACUCUGGAAAGCAAGACAGCUGAAAGAGUACAGGAGGGCAAAUGGAUUGUGCUACAGUUGUGGAGAUAAGUUCACUCCAGGACAUGUGUGCUCCACUGCAGAGGAACAGCAAGUGGAAUGUGCAACAAUUUCUGUCCAAGCUUUGUCAGGUGCUUCUCACCCCAAGACCAUCCAGUUCAGACCUUUGAUUGGGAAUCAGUUCAGACCUCCCGCGCCGCGCCGGAGCAGCCCGGAGUCAGGUCCGGCCGGAUCUGACCAGGACGCCACACGCACGCACCCACCCGAGGAGAGCUCCUCGCAGCCGCCGCGCUACAGGCAAACCACAGAGCGCCGCCGCCCUGCCCCGCCGCCGUCGCGCCGAAGGGCCCCGCGUCAGUCUCCGCCCCUGCCCGUGUCACCGUCCGGCGUCGGCUGCACACGUAGCAGAAAGGAGCCAAGGCCCCGUCGCCGCCUACGCCUGCGGGGCUUUGUCCGACGGCGCCUUGUGGCAGCGGCGGCGGGGGAGGAACGCCGGGAGUGGGGACGAAGGCGGCUGCCGCUAGGGAUUGCCCCCGGUCGCCCGCGGGGGUGA
rnacentral:rRNA from 1 species